rnacentral:rRNA from 1 species
UACGGGGGGAACGAGCGUUGUUCGGAUUUACUGGGCGUAAAGGGCACGCAGGUGGGAAAGCAAGUCAGGUGUGAAAUCCCGAGGCUUAACUUCGGGACUGCAUUUGAUACUGCUUUUCUUGAGUACGAGAGAGGAUGGCGGAAUUCUUGGUGUAGCGGUGAAAUGCGUAGAUAUCAAGAAGAACACCGGUGGCGAAGGCGGCCAUCUGGCUCGAGACUGACGCUCAUGUGCGAAGGCCGGGGGAGCAAACAGG